rnacentral:rRNA from 1 species
GUAGGUGGCAAGCGUUGUCCGGAAUUAUUGGGUGUAAAGCGCGCGCAGGCGGUUCUUUAAGUCUGAUGUGAAAGCCCACGGCUCAACCGUGGAGGGUCAUUGGAAACUGGAGAACUUGAGUACAGAAGAGGAAAGCGGAAUUCCACGUGUAGCGGUGAAAUGCGUAGAGAUGUGGAGGAACACCAGUGGCGAAGGCGGCUUUCUGGUCUGUAACUGACGCUGAGGCGCGAAAGCGUGGGGAGCAAACAGGAUUAGAUACCCUGGUAGUCCACGCCGUAAACGAUGAGUGCUAAGUGUUAGGGGGUUUUCCGCCCCCCUUAGUGCUGCAGCUAACGCAUUAAGCACUCCGCCUGGGAGUACGGCCGCAAGGCUG